AAAUGAAUAGACGGGGACCCGCACAAGCAGCGGAGCAUGUGGUUUAAUUCGAAGCAACGCGAAGAACCUUACCAGAGCUUGACAUCCCUCUGACCGGUCCGUAAAAGGACUUUCUCUUCGGAGCAGAGGUGACAGGUGGUGCAUGGUUGUCGUCAGCUCGUGUCGUGAGAUGUUGGGUUAAGUCCCGCAACGAGCGCAACCCUUGUCAUUAGUUGCCAUCAUUCAGUUGGGCACUCUAGUGAGACUGCCGGGGAUAACUCGGAGGAAGGUGGGGAUGACGUCAAAUCAUCAUGCCCCUUAUGUUCUGGGCUACACACGUGCUACAAUGGCCGGUACAGAGAGAAGCAAUACUGUGAAGUGGAGCAAAACUCUAAAACCGGUCCCAGUUCGGAUUGUAGGCUGCAACUCGCCUACAUGAAGUCGGAGUUGCUAGUAAUCGCGAAUCAGAACGUCGCGGUGAAUGCGUUCCCGGGUCUUGUACACACCGCCCGU
rnacentral:rRNA from 1 species